AUUGAACGCUGGCGGCAGGCCUAACACAUGCGAGUCGAGCGGUAGCACAGGAGAGCUUGCUCUCUGGGUGACGAGCGGCGGACGGGUGAGUAAUGUCUGGGAAACUGCCUGAUGGAGGGGGAUAACUACUGGAAACGGUAGCUAAUACCGCAUAACGUCGCAAGACCAACGAGGGGGACCUUCGGGCCUCUUGACAUCAGAUGUGCCGAGAUGGGAUUAGCUAGUAGGUGGGGUAACGGCUCACCUAGGCGACGCUCCCUAGCUGGUCUGAGAGGAUGACCAGCCACACUGGAACUGAGACACGGUCCAGACUCCUACGGGAGGCAGCAGUGGGGAAUAUUGCACAAUGGGCGCAAGCCUGAUGCAGCCAUGCCGCGUGUAUGAAGAAGGCCUUCGGGUUGUAAAGUACUUUCAGCGGGGAGGAAGGCGAUAAGGUUAAUAACCUUGUCGAUUGACGUUACCCGCAGAAGAAGCACCGGCUAACUCCGUGCCAGCAGCCGCCGUAACAC
rnacentral:rRNA from 1 species